rnacentral:misc_RNA from 1 species
GCGGCUGGAUCCCCUCCUUUCUAAGGAAAGUAAUAAUAAAGUCCUAUCAUCACGCUCACUAUUUAGUUUUGAGAGAUCGAGGUUGUGUUCUUUGAAAUACCGAUUGUUGAGACGCAGAAAAGACUGUAGAUGUGGGUAAUCUAUAGUCUAUUUUUUGCGGGAGAGUUACGGUUCAAUGCUUCAGUUGCUUGAUCGGGCCUAUAGCUCAGUCUCGGUUAGAGCGCACGCCUGAUAAGCGUGAGGUCGUUGGUUCAAUUCCAACUAGGCCCACCAGAAAGCAAAGGGCGGAGAACAAUCGGCUAAUGGAUUGAGCCGAUUGUUUUUAAGGGAUCUUGUUUUCGUGUCGAAUAAGUUUGGGGGUGUAGCUCAGUUGGGAGAGCGCCUGCCUUGCACGCAGGAGGCCAUCGGUUCGAGCCCGUUCACCUCCACCACCAAAAGCUGAAACCUGCUGGUCAAAGUAAUGGCCAUUGGGUUUGAGCGUUUGGCUCAGCAAGGGUGUUAAAAGUUCUUUGACAAUUGAAUAUGUAUAGAUCAAAGCGUUUAAUUCAUAGCUUGUGGCACUUAAAUGUGGCCAAGCUAAUAAGGGCAAGCGGUGAAUGCCUUGGCGUUAAGUGGCGAUGAAGGACGUGGCAGACUGCGAUAAGCUUCGGGGAGCCGUCAAACAGGCUUAGAUCCGGAGAUUU